rnacentral:piRNA from 1 species
UGUCUAUAUCCAGAUGAACAUCUAUGUGCCA